rnacentral:rRNA from 1 species
AGAACGAACGCUGGCGGCAGGCUUAACACAUGCAAGUCGAACGGUUGUAGCAAUACAGCAGUGGCAGACGGGUGAGUAACACGUGGGAACCUUCCUAGGGGUACGGAACAACUCAGGGAAACUUGAGCUAAUACCGUAUACGUCCGUGAGGAGAAAGUUUUAACGCCCCUAGACGGGCCCGCGUAGGAUUAGGUAGUUGGUGAGGUAACGGCUCACCAAGCCUACGAUCCUUAGCUGAUCUGAGAGGAUGAUCAGCCACACUGGGACUGAGACACGGCCCAGACUCCUACGGGAGGCAGCAGUGGGGAAUCUUGGACAAUGGGCGCAAGCCUGAUCCAGCCAUGCCGCGUGAGUGAAGAAGGCCUUGGUGUAAGCUCGUUUACCAGGACGAUAAUAGACGGUACCUAGGAGAAUAAGACCCCGCGAAACUCGUGCAGCAGCCGC